UCUGUCCCUCUCUGCAGGACCAUCUGGAGUGGACCUCACCCCGGUGUACAUCGCUGUCUCGGUGGUCGUGUGCACAGCGAUCGCGUGCGGGGCUGCCUGCUACGCCCGGAAGCAAUGGAAGAUCGGGAGGAGCAACAGGGCAGACUCGGCCACAGACAACGCGGACCGCACCUACACGUCGCUGACAAUUUCACCCGCUCUCUACGAGACCAUCCAUCCAUCGGAAACGGAAACUGAAGAGGAAUACGCAGAAGUCACGUUCAUUGGCGAGUGAAUGUUGCGUCAUCAAUGGCUCCAUCCGGGUUGGUUGAACUCUGGCUCCCGUGACCUGCAGCUGGCUCUGAGUAAUGGGGUCACUGGAGCCGUG